AUCCCUGUCCCUCCCGGGGCACUGUUCUUUUCAAGAGAAAAAGUAAUAGGAGCUUUGGUGGCUUAGUCUGAUUCUGUGCUUGGAAGGUAACAGCAACCCGCCAUCAGGCAUCGUGUGGGGUAUUUCUGGGAGGGACUUCUUAUGAGCCUGAGACUCAGCCAGGGAAAGGAUGGGGUGAUCUUCAUUAGUGCACGCCUGUUGGAAGCUACUUUCCACACACAGUUAUACCUGAGCCCAUCAGCCUGAAGGUACUCCUAGCAGCUCAAGUCAGAGGGGAAGAAGAAGGACCCACAUCUCCUCUCCACUGAGCACGAUGGGAGCCUGGAAGGAUCUUACUACAGGCAUACCCCUUUGGCUGCAUGUAUCACCCAAUUAACUCUCUGUGCAGGGCAGAAAGGGGGAACAGCAAGCAGAUCCUCUUGGGUAGGCGUCCUGUUCCCUGCCUGCCCUAGUUGGAGCUGUUUGCUGUUGGUAGGACAGAGUUUCACAGUCAAAUUGAUUGUUGAACCACAGCAAAGACAUGAGAAGUCCUAGAAAUCUCUGGCUACAUCUGGGCUGUCAGUGCUCACAUGGAGACAAAUUCUGCCAUAGCCACUCUGAAGGAGGACAGAGUUGCAAGAGGGAGGAUGAAAUAUCCAGAAGAUGGGAAAAUAUCCAGAAGAGUAGAAAAUUUGUACACUGCAAGAGGCUCAUCUCUUCUUUCUAUGAAAGAACCUGAUGAGGAAGCUCAAGCAGUGCAAAACACUACUCCUGGCACUGAACUGCAGCACAAUGCACUGGGGAACAGUUUGUGGCUGGAAAAAGAUGGUAUGUAGAGAUCUUGCAGCCCCUAGUAAUGAAGCUAAGAUAGUGAAUGUGAGGUGGUGGUCUUGUCCACUGUGUGGUCUUCAGCUCCUCAAACUCUAGAAGAUCUGCCCUGUUGUGCAGGAGCUGAUGUGACUCCUUUUAUAUGAGAAAACAGCAAAUGUGGGCUGAUGGAAAUUCCUGCCUUGCCUACAGGUAGUGUUAAGAUGGUUGCAUUUGUUUGGAGGGAAGAAGCGCACGUUCCUCUCCGAAACUCUUAUCUGUAUUUUUGCAACAGUCAAGACGUUGCAAACAUCUUGCAAACAUGAAGACCAUGCUAAACAUUAAGGUCGUGACUAUGGAAGUGUUAGGACUGACUCCAAGCCAGGCUUUCAGAUCCACCCAUUUGUGGUGCACGGCAGGGUCACGGCCGAGCAGAGCGUGCCGCAAGCCCGUCCUUACAGGUAAAUACGUGAGAUUGGAUAAUGCUCUCGCGGACUGAGCUGUCAUGCUCAUUUAAUGCUAUGGAACCCAGCAGAGUCCUGUCUGAAAGCACAGCUGGACGUGGACCUCGGUGUUUGCAGAACGACCCCGAGACUCCCUGGCCAACCAGCUAGGAAUGCAGCUCAUGAGUCAUUUCCAUGCAGAAAACAAACAAAGAAAAGCGAGACAUACUCGUGAAUAGUCGAGCUCCCUGGGCGUGGAGUCGGUUAAAGCUCGUACGAGGGCGUUCAUCAUGCUGAUGGGAGGAGAAGGCGGGGAGGGCUGCGAAGGUUCCUGCUGCAGGGGGCUCUUUGGUUUGGAAGGCAGCCGACCUCUUCUCCCUUUCAGGCUGUCCGUGCGGACAACUGCAUAGAAAAGAAGCGUGUCGGUGGUAAGGACACGGUAAAACGACAGAGCAGCAUGAGCACCUGCUUCCCCUGCGAUGGCCAGCCCAGCAAAAAUAAGAGCAUUCUCCAAUUUCAGCACACUGUUGAUGCCUUUGAUGGCAAAGAAACACAAACGGUACCAAAACUGAUUUCAACUAUGACCGUAAGCAGCAGAAUAACUGCUUCCUUGGAGCCCAGCUGUGUUUCUAGUGCUCAUGCUUUGUUUGCAGCACACCUGUGUACCCCUAUAUGCACACAUACAGCCCUACUGCUGAAUGAAAACACAGUUUGAAACACAAACGUCACCUGCUAUAUGGCAGGGCUGUUCUUUCACAGUAACUUUAGCUUUCUCAAAGCAGUCAAAAAAUAUGGUCACACUAUAUAGGCUGUAUUUCCCAUGUCAGUAUUUGCAAUAGGACUGCUCACACAGUAUUACUCACAUACUUAAAUAUUUGCAGAACAGGGACUAAUGAGUUGAUCCAGUUUCCAUUUAAAUUAAUUGCAAAUUUACAAUCAGCUCAUGGCCACGAGACAAGAUCCUAUGCAAAAAGGCACCCAAGACAACAAAACACUGAUGCUACAAGAUAACGUGCGGAAGCCAACUGCAUUAACGAAUGGCAUUCAGAGUUCAUAAAGGACACAUUUUGGCCAGAGUCAAAUUAUCCCCUUGUGACCUUGCAAUCCUUGAACUCUGGGCUCCCAGAAAGUCUAAACAUGUUAAACCCACUCAACUGGGCAACAGGAAAAAAAAUAAUCAAUGAUGUGUUGUUGUACAGAUGCACGAAUUGGAGGGGCAGCUAGGAAGCUAAUUUCCAAGUCCGUAGUAAAGACAUCUACGUCCACACACACACACACAC